GACGAACGCUGGCGGCGUGCUUAACACAUGCAAUUCGAACGGAAAGGCCCUGCUUUUGUGGGGUGCUCGAGUGGCGAACGGGUGAGUAACACGUGAGUAACCUGCCCUUGACUUUGGGAUAACUUCAGGAAACUGGGGCUAAUACCGGAUAGGAGCUCCUGCUGCAUGGUGGGGGUUGGAAAGUUUCGGCGGUUGGGGAUGGACUCGCGGCUUAUCAGCUUGUUGGUGGGGUAGUGGCUUACCAAGGCUUUGACGGGUAGCCGGCCUGAGAGGGUGACCGGCCACAUUGGGACUGAGAUACGGCCCAGACUCCUACGGGAGGCAGCAGUGGGGAAUAUUGCACAAUGGGCGGAAGCCUGAUGCAGCAACGCCGCGUGCGGGAUGACGGCCUUCGGGUUGUAAACCGCUUUCGCCUGUGACGAAGCGUGAGUGACGGUAAUGGGUAAAGAAGCACCGGCUAACUACGUGCCAGCAGCCGCGGUGAUACGUAGGGUGCGAGCGUUGUCCGGAUUUAUUGGGCGUAAAGGGCUCGUAGGUGGUUGAUCGCGUCGGAAGUGUAAUCUUGGGGCUUAACCCUGAGCGUGCUUUCGAUACGGGUUGACUUGAGGAAGGUAGGGGAGAAUGGAAUUCCUGGUGGAGCGGUGGAAUGCGCAGAUAUCAGGAGGAACACCAGUGGCGAAGGCGGUUCUCUGGGCCUUUCCUGACGCUGAGGAGCGAAAGCGUGGGGAGCGAACAGGCUUAGAUACCCUGGUAGUCCACGCUGUAAACGGUGGGUACUAGGUGUGGGGUCCAUUCCACGGGUUCCGUGCCGUAGCUAACGCUUUAAGUACCCCGCCUGGGGAGUACGGCCGCAAGGCUAAAACUCAAAGGAAUUGACGGGGCCCCGCACAAGCGGCGGAGCAUGCGGAUUAAUUCGAUGCAACGCGUAGAACCUUACCUGGGUUUGACAUGGAUCGGGAGUGCUCAGAGAUGGGUGUGCCUCUUUUGGGGUCGGUUCACAGGUGGUGCAUGCCUGUCGUCAGCUCGUGUCGUGAGAUGUUGGGUUAAGUCCCGCAACGAGCGCAACCCUUGUUCACUGUUGCCAGCACGUUAUGGUGGGGACUCAGUGGAGACCGCCGGGGUCAACUCGGAGGAGGGUGGGGAUGACGUCAAGUCCUCAUGCCCCUUAUGUCCAGGGCUUCACGCAUGCUACAAUGGCUGGUACAGAGAGUGGCGAGCCUGUGAGGGUGAACGAAUCUCGGAAAGCCGGUCUCAGUUCGGAUUGGGGUCUGCAACUCGACCUCAUGAAGUCGGAGUCGCUAGUAAUCGCAGAUCAGCAACGCUGCGGUGAAUACGUUCCCGGGGCU
rnacentral:rRNA from 1 species